UACGUAGGUGGCAAGCGUUGUCCGGAUUUAUUGGGUUUAAAGGGUGCGUAGGCGGUCUAUUAAGUCAGUGCUGAAAUAUCCCGGCUUAACCGGGAGGGUGGCAUUGAUACUGAUGGACUUGAGUAAAGUUGAGGUAGGCGGAAUUGACGGUGUAGCGGUGAAAUGCUUAGAUAUCGUCAAGAACACCGAUAGUGAAGACAGCUAACUAAGCUCAAACUGACGCUGAGGCACGAAAGUGUGGGGAUCAAACAGG
rnacentral:rRNA from 1 species